AAGCCCAGGCCAAGAUGUACGUGCCAUCCCUCAUUCUUCACGUCCUCAUCCUCCAUGUUUGAUGCAUCAACACGUCCUCUCAGCUGACUUUCCAAUGGAUUCUUCGAACUGAUCAUUUUCUCUUGGUUUCCAUUACUAGAAUCCAGCUAGUUCAGGUGAUCCUCACUUCUUUUUUGGAUGACUGCAUUAGCUUCCUAAUUAUCCUCUCAGAUUCUACUUUUACGCUUAUCACCCAUUUGCCACAUUAUACUAGAAUCAUAUUUUUAAAAUGUAAAUCAUAUCAUGAUUCCACUUUUUUGUUUAAAAUCCUCCAAAGGCUUCUUAUUUUGCUUAGACUAAAAUCUAAUCUUAUUGCUGCCAGCAAGUCACUACAAGAUCUGGGGCCUGGCUGCCUCCCAACUUGGUCUCAUCUCCUUCUUCCCCUCCCUCAGGAUGCUCCAGAGAAGAACUGAAGUUACAAUGCUCCGGUCCUGAAGAUGCCAGAAACUGGAUUAAUCAAGUCAAAGGACCGAGCUGGUAUUUGCCCUGGUCUUCCCGUCUCGCUUCCUCCUUCUAACAGAUAUGUAGGGGGUGUCCACUGGCUAUGAGGCCCCAUGCAAGGCACUGACAAUAUUGGGUGGCUCUUCUCAAGGAUGGAUCUUGGCGGUUGGGAGUCAAGAAGGAACAAGAAAAGACCAGAGCCACAGGUCAUGUUUGGGUUACCAAUGACGUCAGUUUUCCAGAUGACAAUUUUUCAGAUUUUCUUAUUAACCUACAGCUUCUCCUGGAAGUAGACUCUCCCAUCAAGCCUGAAAGUCACUGCACUUUUUUUGUGCUUAUCUUCUCCAGGGAAGAAGUCUUGAAAACUCAGAUGCCAUCACCAGCUCUUCUUCCCAACCUCCCAUUUGCUGUUGAACUGCCGCACUCUGACAUCAUCCUGACCAGUCACUGACAGGACCCCCUGAAAACCAAAUCCAGACAGUGCUUGUAAAAGGUACUGCACAGGACUGUUCUACUCCACUUGACAAUCAAGAGCUCUUUGUACUUCUUGAACUUUUCCUUGGUUUCUGCUCUCCUUAUUCUUCUCCAGCCUAUCUGGUCCAUCUUUCUCCUCUUAGCCUAAAGUGGUGUUGUUUCCCAAGGUACUGACUUUGGCCUUAUCCUCUUCGUCUUUUAUGUACUUUUCCUGGAUGGCCCCCUUGCUUGUAUUGGCAGCUCUACACAGAUGCCUCUAAACGCAUAAUCUAGUUUAAAUCUUCCUCUCGAGAGCUCUACUAAGCAUUGUGGGACUCCUUUUCAAAUAUUUGCACAUGAAUAUUGCAUGGGUCCUCAAUACAACUUGUUUUUCAUAGAAUUUAUCAUUCUUACGCCAUAUCCCCAAACCCAUUCAUCUUCUUGAAUUCCUAGUUCCAUUUGGUGACACUGUUGUUCGACCAGUUCCUAAGCCCAAAAGGUAGGCGCAGAUCACUCAUUCCUUUUCCCCUUCUAUAUCCAAUCUGUCACCAAGUCAAGUUGGUUCUGCUUCCUAUAUCUUUACUUCUGUAUUUUAAAAAUUAUACAACUAAUACGUAAUUAUUAUUUUAAAAAUAUGUGGUCCAGAAAUAUAAGGAAUAAAGAUAU
ensembl:lncRNA